rnacentral:lncRNA from 1 species
CCAGUGAGCAUGCUGAAACUUUCAGCAGAUAUUUGUUAAAUUCCAUUUAAUGACAGUGGAAAGAAAUGGAAACUGGCUUCUUUGAGAGGAAUGACAGUUGGAUACACUUUGUUAAGAAUUUAAACCCCUUGCUACUUCCUACCUGGCCUUUGUGAACACCUGUGUCUGUUCUGAGAACUCCAUGCACAGCAGCCAGUGUCCUGAUCAGAGAGAUGGAGAUCGAUAAGUCCUUUAGGAAAGAACAACACAGAGCUUAUGAACAGAAAAUAUUUUUGAAAAAGUCAGUUUGCUUAUUUAAAAACUUCUUGUAGAGACAAAGUGCUUUCCCUGUGCUACAGAUGAAAGAUGAAUAUGGGAGUUUAAUAGCAUUUGUAUGUGAUGUUUGGGGAAACUUGGCAAGUGAGGAGCACUGUGAUUAAUCACUCUGAAACCACCACUAAUCAAAUAAUGAAUGUUCCAAGCACAUAAGCGGAGGGAUAGUGUUGCACAAAUACACAGGGCACUAGACAUUGAAUGCAUGGGUGCACUGAGGGCCGGUAGUGUUUUCAUUAUGUCAUCUGCUUACAUUUUUUUAUGGAGCUCUGUGUUAUAUCAGAAGCAUUAAUGGAUAGAAGAGCUGCCUAUCUCUUUAAAGAAUUGUAUUCUAAACCCCGUUGCAAACAGCAGGCUAACUUAGCUGGGUAGAGAUGCUGGUCCCAAGAUCUCAGCCAGUUUACCUUCAUCUUCAUAGUUCCACCAUUAGAUCUUCCCUGUUCCCUGUUCAGGAAAUGGUGACAAAUGGCAGCUCUCUACCUGAAAGGUGAGUGCAUUAGACAGGCAGUGGUGAGUGACGAACCUGCCAGAAGGAGGUGUGGCAGAGAAUGACCUUGCUGUGCCUUAUGGCCUUUGGUUCCUUACUAUCCUUCUUUAUUACUUAGUCACACAUCUCAAACACAGGCCUGGUAGAUGGAAUUUUUCUGCUUGAUGAAACUCAUGAUUUCCCAGGCCAAAUAAAUAACUAUAAUCCCUAACUUUCAUGCACUGUCAAGCCUUUACUAAGUAUUUUUCAUGUAGUAUCUCAUUUCAUUUGUCC